rnacentral:rRNA from 1 species
GNNNACGCUGGCGGCGUGGAUUAGGCAUGCAAGUCGAACGCGAAAGGUUGCUUCGGUAACCGAGUAGAGUGGCGAACGGGUGAGUAACGCGUAGGUAAUCUAUCUUUAAGUGGGGGAUAGCCCCGGGAAACCGGGAUUAAUACCGCAUGUGUCCGAUAGCACAAGUUAUUGGGUAAAGGUGGCCUCUGAUAUAAGCUACCGCUUGAAGCUGAGCCUGCGUCCUAUUAGUUAGUUGGUAAGGUAAGAGCUUACCAAGGCGAUGAUAGGUAGGCGGCCUUAACGGGUGGUCGCCCACACUGGGAUUGAGAUACGGCCCAGACUCCUACGGGAGGCAGCAGUCGAGAAUAGUCUACAAUGGGGUAAUACCCUGAUAGUGCGACGCCGCGUGGACGAAGAAGCAUUUCGGUGUGUAAAGUCCUUUUCUAUGUGAGCAAGACUUAGAAGGAGAACAUUUUUUUAAGUUCGAUAUUAGCAUAGGAAUAGGCCACGGCUAACUCCGUGCCAGCAGCCGCGGUAACACGGGGGUGGCGAGCGUUGUCCGGAAUUACUAGGCGUAAAGUGCAAUAAGGCGGAAUUAUAAGUCAGAUGUAAAAGGCACCGGCUCAACCGGUGUGACGCAUUUGAUACUGUAUUUCUGGAGUAAGGUGGAGGGAGACGGAAUUCCUGGUGUAGCGGUGGAAUGCGUAGAUAUCAGGAAGAACACCAAAGGCGCAGGCAGUUUUCCAUACCAUUACUGACGCUGAUUUGCGAAGGUGUGGGUAUCGAACAGGAUUAGAUACCCUGGUAGUCCACACAGUAAACGAUNAACACUAGGUGUU